UACAGAGGCCUCGAGCGUUAGGCGGAAUCACUGGGCUUAAAGCGUGUGUAGGCGGAUCGGUAAGUACCUUGUGAAAUCCCACGGCUUAACUGUGGAACUGCUGGGUAUACUGCCAGUCUUGAGCCACUCAGGGGCUACCGGAACAAAUGGUGGAGCGGUGAAAUGCGUAGAUAUCAUUUGGAACGCCAAUGGUGAAAACAGGUAGCUGGGGGUGUGCUGACGCUGAGGAGCGAAAGCCAGGGGAGCAAACGGG
rnacentral:rRNA from 1 species